UAGAGUUUGAUCAUGGCUCAGAUUGAACGCUGGCGGCAGGCCUAACACAUGCAAGUCGAGCGGUAGAGAGAAGCUUGCUUCUCUUGAGAGCGGCGGACGGGUGAGUAAUGCCUAGGAAUCUGCCUAGUAGUGGGGGAUAACGUUCGGAAACGGACGCUAAUACCGCAUACGUCCUACGGGAGAAAGCAGGGGACCUUCGGGCCUUGCGCUAUCAGAUGAGCCUAGGUCGGAUUAGCUAGUUGGUGGGGUAAUGGCUCACCAAGGCGACGAUCCGUAACUGGUCUGAGAGGAUGAUCAGUCACACUGGAACUGAGACACGGUCCAGACUCCUACGGGAGGCAGCAGUGGGGAAUAUUGGACAAUGGGCGAAAGCCUGAUCCAGCCAUGCCGCGUGUGUGAAGAAGGUCUUCGGAUUGUAAAGCACUUUAAGUUGGGAGGAAGGGCAGUUACCUAAUACGUAAUUGUUUUGACGUUACCGACAGAAUAAGCACCGGCUAACUCUGUGCCAGCCGCCGCGGUAAUUCA
rnacentral:rRNA from 1 species